rnacentral:rRNA from 1 species
GUGUCAGCCGCGGUAACACCGGCAGCUCGCGUGGUAGCCGCGUUUAUUGGGCCGAAAGCGUCCGUAGCCGGUCCGAUAAGUCUCUGGUGAAAGCCCACAGCUCAACUGUGGGAAUCGCUGGAGAUACUAUCGGACUUGAGGCCGGGAGAGGCUGGAGGUACCCCCAGGGUAGGGGUGAAAUCCUAUAAUCCUGGGAGGACCACCUGUGGCGAAGGCGUCCAGCUGGAACGGACCUAACGGUGAGGGACGAAAGCCAGGGGCGCGAACCGGAUUAGAUACCCGGGUAGUCCUGGCCGUAAACGAUGCGGACUUGGUGUUGGGACGGCUUUGAGCUGUCCCAGUGCCGAAGGGAAGCGGUUAAGUCCGCCGCCUGGGAAGUACGGCCGCAAGGCUGAAACUUAAAGGAAUUGACGG